GGGGAAUAUUGGACAAUGGGCGCAAGUCUGAUCCAGCCAUGCCGCGUGGGUGAAGAAGGCCUUCGGGUUGUAAAGCCCUUUUGUUGGGAAAGAAAAGCAGCCGGCCAAUACCCGGUUGUUCUGACGGUACCCAAAGAAUAAGCACCGGCUAACUUCGUGCCAGCAGCCGCGGUAAUACGAAGGGUGCAAGCGUUACUCGGAAUUACUGGGCGUAAAGCGUGCGUAGGUGGUUCGGAAAGAAAGAUGUGAAAUCCCAGAGCUUAACUUUGGAACUGCAUUUUUAACUACCGGGCUAGAGUGUGUCAGAGGGAGGUGGAAUUCCGCGUGUAGCAGUGAAAUGCGUAGAUAUGCGGAGGAACACCGAUGGCGAAGGCAGCCUCCUGGGAUAACACUGACGCUCAUGCACGAAAGCGUGGGGAGCAAACA
rnacentral:rRNA from 1 species